rnacentral:sRNA from 1 species
UCAAGAAAGAUAUAUUCCACAGGUGUA